rnacentral:rRNA from 1 species
AAGACCUUGCACUUUUGGAGCGGCCGAUGUCUGAUUAGCUAGUUGGUGGGGUAAUGGCCUACCAAAGCUUCGAUCAGUAGCUGGUCUGAGAGGACGGCCAGCCACACUGGGACUGAGACACGGCCCAGACUCCUACGGGAGGCAGCAGUGGGGAAUUUUGGACAAUGGGCGCAAGCCCGAUCCAGCCAUGCCGCGUGAGUGAAGAAGGCCUUCGGGUUGUAAAGCUCUUUCAGCCGGGAAGAAAAGGUUGCGACUAAUAAUCGCAAUUCAUGACGGUACCGAAAGAAGAAGCACCGGCUAACUACGUGCCAGCAGCCGCGGUAAUACGUAGGGUGCGAGCGUUAAUCGGAAUUACUGGGCGUAAAGGGUGCGCAGGCGGUUUUGUAAGUCAGAUGUGAAAUCCCCGGGCUUAACCUGGGAACU